rnacentral:rRNA from 1 species
UACGACUGAAGGCACCAGUGGGUAAACUUGCACAAUGGGGGCAAACCUGAUCCAGCCAUGCCGCGUGAGUGAUGAAGGCCUUAGGGUCGUAAAGCUCUUUCGCCUGUGAAAAUAAUGACGGUAGCAGGUAAAGAAACCCCGGCUAACUCCGUGCCAGCAGCCGCGGUAAUACGGAGGGGGUUAGCGUUGUUCGGAAUUACUGGGCGUAAAGCGCACGUAGGCGGACCAGAAAGUUGGGGGUGAAAUCCCGGGGCUCAACCCCGGAACUGCCUCCAAAACUAUUGGUCUAGAGUUCGAGAGAGGUGAGUGGAAUUCCAAGUGUAGAGGUGAAAUUCGUAGAUAUUUGGAGGAACCCCAGUGGCGAAGGCGGCUCACUGGCUCGAUACUGACGCUGAGGUGCGAAAGUGUGGGGAGCAAACAGGAUUAGAUACCCUGGUAGUCCACCCCGUAAACAAUGAAUGCCAGUCGUCGGGUAAC